rnacentral:rRNA from 1 species
GUCUACAGCCAUGCCACCCUGAACAAGCCCGAUUCUGUCUGAUCUCAGAAGCUAAGCAGGGUCGGGCCUGGUUAGUACUUGCACAGAAGACCACGUAGGAAGACCAGGCGCUGUAGACA